AGGAAGGCCCAUCGGAGGAGAAGCCGAGGUGUGAGGAAGGCCUGGGUUGGGGCAAGUGGAACCGCAGAGAUGGUUCUGGGUGAAGAGCAGGGCAGACAGGAGGCAGUCCCACUGCACCCCAAGGCCAAGUGUGCUGUCCUAAAGGACCUCCUGGAGAGGCCAUUGUGGGGUGAGAGCUGGGACACCUGGGCUGGCUGGAAGAUCCAUGUGGGAGUCCACUCCAGCGCAGCUGCCGGGGAAUCCUCUAGUGGAAGGGCAGCCCAGAAGCCUCCCUGACACCCCCACAGUUCCCAUGAAGGCUUCCAGAGGGAGGUGCAUGGGCUCUGAGCCCUGUGCCCAGGCCUUGGGGAUUCCUGGUGUCCCAGCCCCCCAAGGGGGCAGCCUUGGACAGACCUGCCCUUCUCUUGGCAUUCCUUGCCUUGCAUGGCCUUGUGCUGGGGGCUCUCCUGGGUUUCAGAGCACCCUGUAAAGAUGGCAUGUUGGUCCCCAUGAACAGAUGGGGAAAUAGAGGCCUGCCUUUGCUCAUCACCCCCUGAUGCAUGUACAUUCCUAGAACAGUGUGUGACGCAGAGCAGGUGCUUUGGCCACAAAGGUAAAGAGCCUGUGAGAACAUCCAGCCCCCAAGACAUGCUCAGGAAUAAAAGCGAAACACCCAGCAUGGAGCCCAGCACAUGGGAUCAUGGAAGAGGUCCCAGGAGCACAGAGCCACACCAUCCAUUCCAUGGGAGUGGGAACUAGAGCUGACAGCUUUCAUCAGCCAAGCCUGCAACACACCCACAAAUCAUAGUCACACACUGCACACCUGAGGCUUUGGCAAAAACACCGCAUCCAGCACAUCGGUUGUGACCAGAGACAGGGCCACAUUGAGCCUGCAGGAGUCAUGUCCAUUUUCCAGAAUCUAUCCCAUCUAUUCACCUUCCACAAGGACCAGACCAGUGAAUGAACACACAGACACACACACACACACGCACACGCACAAGAGAGAGAGAUGAAAGCAAUUGGCUCCCAUGAUCUGUCCCGUCUGCAAGCUGAGACCCGGGAGAGCCGGUGGAGUAAAUCGCAGUCCGAGGGCAGGAGAUGAGAUAAGACAUCCCAGCUCAAGCAGUGACGCAAGAAAAAGAGGGCAGAUUCUUCUUCCCCUGCCUUUCUGUUCUAUUCAGGUUCACACUGGAUGGGAGGAGGCCCCCACGCUGGGGAGGGCAUCUGCCUUCCUGAGUCCACCAAUCCCAAUACUCAUCUCACCCAGAAUCAACCUCGCAGACAUGCCUGGAUCAAGGUUUAAUCUGGGCACCCUGUGGCCCAGUUAAGUGAACACAUAGAAAUAAUUCGUCACACCAGAGAUCUUGAUGGUGCAUACAAACAUCCACUGUCCUCGCCGAGAUGCGAUUGUGUUUCUGAUUUAUUAUCUUGACCGAGGAUGCUUUCAGUGACCUACACUUGACCUCCUCACUUCACUUAUGGUAGCUUUCACCUCACAGGCCAAGGACGUAUUUAUGGGGAUUACUGUAACUGCCAAAUAUCUCAAUCCCAAUGGAAUAUUCAGAGACUGUAAAAAUGACCACUGGAUGGGGUCAUGAACCCUGCCUGAGGGCCCAUUCUAAGUUUGGCAGGGACACCAUUCACUUCUUGACCCAUGAGGCUCCUCUCUAACAGAAGACGAUGAUAACGUUUCAGGUCUUGUUUGUUUGUUUUGCGAGACAAGGUCUUGCUAUGUUGCCCAGGCUGGAGUGCGGUGGCAUGAUCAUGGCUCACUGCAGCCUCAAACCCCUGGGCUCAAAUGAUCCUCCUGCCUCACCUGGGACCCCAGGUGUGCACCACCAUGCCUGGCUAAUUUCUCUUAAUUUUUCUUUGUUUGUCUCUCUACAAAAGGGUGUCUCUCUACAAAAAAAGAAAAAUUAAGAGAAAUUAGCCAGGCGUGGUGAUGCACAGGCUGGUCUUCAUCUCCUGGGUGCAAGCGAUUCCUCCUUGGCCUCCCAAAGUGCUGUGAUAACAGGCAUGAACCAGUGUGCCCAGCCACCCUCCAGGUCUUUAGAUGCCAGCGUCAACUCAGAGCCUGUGUCCAUCGGUCCUACAAUGUGAGGGGUCUCUGUGCCAGAGUGCUCAGCCCUGUGAGUAAAUGCCACGUUCCUUUGCGAGAACAUUCCAGCAAAUGCUGGCAGUGGUGUUGCUGGGCCUUCCCUCUGCAGACCUUGGCUGCGUCUUCAAGCAACAGGCUCUGGGUCAGAAAAUAAACUCAGAUACGGACAUGGGGCAAGACAGCACGGCUUCUUAUCGGAGCGAUCACUUUCAGCCUCUUCCCCAUUCAUUCAUAGUCUCUGUUCAUUAAAUAAACAGCUUUAUUGAGGUAUUAUUGACAUACAAUAAACUGCACAUAUCUAAAAUGUACAGUUUGAUACAUUUUAAAACGCGAAACUUGUGUCCACUCAUGUCCUCAGAAACGGUCACCAUGAUGGGGACAGUGGGCACGUCCCCUCCCUGACGGUGUCCUCCUGCCCCUUUGUAACCCUUCCUGUCACUCUUCCCUUUCCCCAGCCCCCAUGAGCCACUGCUGACCUGCUUUCUACCGCAUUUCUGAGUUUCACUGUAUAUAUGGAAAUAUACAGUGAGUCUUCUUUUUCCUCUGGCUUCCUUCAUUCAGAAAAUUCUCUUGAGCUUCACCCUUGUUUGUUGUUCUGUAUGAG
rnacentral:lncRNA from 10 species